rnacentral:rRNA from 1 species
GUAGGUGGCAAGCGUUGUCCGGAUUUAUUGGGUUUAAAGGGUGCGUAGGCGGUUUUGUAAAGUCGGUGGUGAAAUACUCCAGCUUAACUGGAGGGGUGCCAAUGAUACUGCAGAACUUGAGUACAGAUGAGGUAGGCGGAAUUGACGGUGUAGCGGUGAAAUGCAUAGAUAUCGUCAAGAACACCGAUAGCGAAGGCAGCUUACUGGGCUGUAACUGACGCUGAGGCACGAAAGUGUGGGGAUCAAACAGGAUUAGAUACCCUGGUAGUCCACACUGUAAACGUUGAUAACUCGCUGUUUGCGAUACACAGCAAGCGGCUUAGCGAAAGCGAUAAGUUAUCCACCUGGGGAGUACGCCGGCAACGGUG